UAUGUGAUCGUCUCUCGCAUAUCAAUAAGCGGAGGAAAAGAAACUAACAAGGAUUCCCCUAGUAACGGCGAGUGAAGCGGGAAGAGCUCAAAUUUGAAAUCUUAAAGGGUUUCCCUUUACGAAUUGUAGUUUAAAGAAGUGUUUUCUGUUGAGGUUUUGGUAAAAGUUCUUUGGAAUAGGACAUCAUAGAGGGUGAGAAUCCCGUAUUUGACCUUUACUUUCAACUUUGUGAUACACUUUCAAAGAGUCGGAUUGUUUGGGAAUGCAGUCCAAAAUGGGUGGUAAAUUUCAUCUAAAGCUAAAUAUUGGCGAGAGACCGAUAGCGAACAAGUACCGUGAGGGAAAGAUGAAAAGAACUUUGAAAAGAGAGUUAAACAGUACGUGAAAUUGUCAAAAGGGAAGCGUUUGACACCAGUGUUGUUUUUCUGAAAAUCAAUUAAAGAACUGUUUAUGCUAAGUUGUUUAGACUUUAUCAGCUAACUGUUUAGUUUUGAGCUUUUCUUUAAUGCACUUUUCAGUUAACAAGUCAACAUCAAUUUCUUUUGCUGUAAAAAAGCUUGAGGAAGGUGGCUUGAGAUUCGUCUUAAGUGUUUAUAGCCUCUUGCCUAUGCAGUCGGAGAGAUUGAGGUCUGCAGCGUAGAUCCUUCGGGGCUAAAUGCAUUUGUGCUAAGUUAUAACAUUUUAUAGACAACUUGUUGACUAUGAUUUGUCUUGUAGCUUACUCGCUUAUGUUAUUUUACCUACGCUUAGGAUGUUGAGUAGCGACAUACGCAC
rnacentral:rRNA from 1 species